rnacentral:lncRNA from 1 species
CUCCUCCUACCACAAAUUCUGUUGCUUUGGAAAGAAGCCAGGAAAUCUCUCUGUGUGUGUCUCUCUCUCCCUCUUCUGCUUUAGCAUGCACUGUAUUGUAAAACAUUGACUUGUCACCUAAGAGGAGGUUUUAUCAGAUGGCAAAGACCUCAAGACCAUUAAAUUUGGUGUUGAAUCUAACAACAUCCCCAGUAAACAGUGAGUGACAAUACUGAACUGAAGAACC